GAUGAAGAACGCAGCGAAAUGCGAUAAGUAAUGUGAAUUGCAGAAUUCAGUGAAUCAUCGAAUCUUUGAACGCACAUUGCGCCCCCUGGUAUUCCGGGGGGCAUGCCUGUUCGAGCGUCAUUUCACCACUCAAGCCUCGCUUGGUAUUGGGCAACGCGGUCCGCCGCGUGCCUCAAAUCAACCGGCUGGGUCUUCUGUCCCCUAAGCGUUGUGGAAACUAUUCGCUAAAGGGUGUUCGGGAGGCUACGCCGUAAAACAACCCCAUUUCUAAGGUUGACCUCGGAUCAGGUAGGGAUACCCGCUGAACUUAAGCAUAUCAAUAAGCGGAGGA
rnacentral:misc_RNA from 1 species